rnacentral:rRNA from 1 species
AUUGAACGCUGGCGGCAUGCCUAACACAUGCAAGUCGAACGGAGGUAGGGGCAACUCUACUUCAGUGGCGGACGGGUGAGGAAUGCGUCGGAAUCUACCCUAUGGUGGGGGAUAACACAGGGAAACUUGUGCUAAUACCGCAUAAUGUCGAGAGACCAAAGCAGGGACCGCAAGGCCUUGCGCGAUAGGAUGAGCCGACGCCCGAUUAGCUAGUGGUAGGGUAAAGGCCUACCAAGGCGACGACCGGUAGCUGGUCUGAGAGGAUGAUCAGCCACACUGGGACUGAGACACGGCCCAGACUCCUACGGGAGGCAGCAGUGGGGAAUAUUGGACAAUGGGCGCAAGCCUGAUCCAGCAAUGCCGCGUGUGUGAAGAAGGCCUGCGGGUUGUAAAGCACUUUUGUUCGGGAAGGAAAUCAUGCUGGUUAACACCU